GACGAACGCUGGCGGCGUGCUUAACACAUGCAAGUCGAACGGAAAGGCCCUGCUUGCAGGGUACUCGAGUGGCGAACGGGUGAGUAACACGUGGGUGAUCUGCCCUGCACUUCGGGAUAAGCCUGGGAAACUGGGUCUAAUACCGGAUAGGAGCCAUUUUUAGUGCGAUGGUUGGAAAGUUUUUUCGGUGUAGGAUGAGCUCGCGGCCUAUCAGCUUGUUGGUGGGGUAAUGGCCUACCAAGGCGGCGACGGGUAGCCGGCCUGAGAGGGUGGACGGCCACAUUGGGACUGAGAUACGGCCCAGACUCCUACGGGAGGCAGCAGUGGGGAAUAUUGCACAAUGGGCGCAAGCCUGAUGCAGCGACGCCGCGUGGGGGAUGACGGCCUUCGGGUUGUAAACUCCUUUCGCUAGGGACGAAGCUUUUUGUGACGGUACCUAGAGAAGAAGCACCGGCUAACUACGUG
rnacentral:rRNA from 1 species